UAAGGACGUGCAUCCCCUUCCAACAGAUCAAUUUCGCUCGUCGCUCUUCAAGCGCUGAUUUGUUCUUCCCUUUCUCUUCUUAUUUUCUUGUUGUUCAUACAACCGCUGCUGCCGGUUUCCUGCUUCUGCCUCUUCCGUAUGCCUGUCCGCACCGUUUGUUCCAAGAAGCGAAGGCGGAGGUGGAGAUGCGGGAGAGGCCGAGUCCGAGGUGGCAGAGGACGGGCGAUGAAAAUGGCACAGAGUGGUCGCGGGCUCAUUCCGGCGGCCGGCGCACGCAGCCGUGAGGGGUGGGGUGGAUGAGCAAGGGGCGCCGCCGCCGCUGCCUCGUGCGUGCGGGCGAGAAGGUGGAGAGCGCACACCGCUCCGAUGGAGAAGAACAUGUGAUUCAAAUCGUGUUGUACUAUGUUCUUAUUGUCUUAGUUGGUUGCUCUGUAUGAUAUGGUUGUGUUUGAUUAGUUGUUCUGGAUCUCCGGUACAGAUUUGUUGAUGGUGGAAUGGACGGUACUUUAUUAUGUGACGUUCUUGGAUAAAAGAUUUGGUUCAGCUUAGUAUUACUUCUGUUACCAACUUCUUUUCAUGAAAGCCAUUCAUUUUGGCAAGGCCCCAUCACACCUGGCAAUUAUAUUGGUUGCGUGGGAGAAAUUGAAGUUACAGGCCAUAAUUCCCAUGGCUAAGCUGCCCUACAACAGUCUAGAGCUCGGUCGGAUGGAGCAGUUGGGGAGGAGUGGCGGAUGCGCGGGGCAUCGCCGGCCAGAGAGGACGGGAGGAGCAUAUGCCAGCGAGGGAGGCAGCUCGGCUUGGACCGGCCAUGGCGCCGGCGCUGCUAACUCCCACGGGCCUCUCAUUCCCCAUCUCUUCUGGAAGUGAUGAAUCAAGCAAGGAGGAAGGGCGUAGUGUUGGAUAUUUGACCAGGUUAGGAUUGUCUCCUGUUAAGUAUAUGGUCGCGUGAUUUUAUUUUUACCUCGCCGGCACUGAGUUUGAUUUAAUUUUCAUCUCCGACGAGUCUACCGGUUGCGUUCUUAUUUUGUUGCAGGCGACAUAUAUGGAUGCCUCUGUUCUGAAUAAACAAUAUUUACUUGAACCUAUAUGGUCUGAAUAAAGUUUACACUGCCAAUAUUUUGCCUUGACCUGCCAAGGUAUGAACUAAAACAUCAAUAUCACUCGAACCUAAUCAUGUCAGGGUCUAAAUUAUUGCCUAUCUGCCAAUAUAAUAGCAUGCUAGAUGUUCUUAGAUUCAAUCCAAAAAAGCUUUGUUUGUGUUCCUGUCAAUUUUAGACGUGCAGGUAGCUUGAUAACUUGCUUUUCUUUUUGUUCAGUACAUAUAUACAGUUACACCAUAAGCUCACCAAUUUGCUCUGAUUAAAUUAGCAAACCUGAAGCAUGUAAGGAUUCAUGUGAGUGAAAGUUCACUUUCUUUCAGGAGAAAAGAACUUUUAGUUAAUACCAGUCGAAUUUGGUAAGGCCAAUAAUUAUAUCCUUUCAUAAUCAUCAGGUUUGCUACAAUUAGUCAUAAUAAAGUAUUCUAUUUUUUCUUUUGCACAGUGGCAUUGCAAUGGAUAUUGUUCUUUUACUAGCAGUGUGCUGAGUGUGCAUGCAAAGUACAGGUCAUUUUGAGUGGCAAGGGUUGAGAAUUACCAUAAUGUUAAUAUGUUGAAGAACCUUAUAAAAUAUAUAAUUAUAUAUUUGACACUUUUUAUACUGAUUCAAGUGAAAAAUGUCAUAAUUCUAAUAGAUAUUUGCAUCUGCGCCAAGUGCGGCAUGCAGUCAUCCUCAUCCUGUCCUGAACGUACCAUGUACUCUGUAUUGAGAAAAGACUAGGGAGUUAAGAAUACCAUGUGGCACCGGAGCAGCCUAAGGGCCAUUAGUUGGGAAUAAGAUGCACUGGAUAUCUGAGUUUAAGUGGUAGCUUUGCACUUUGCAGUAUGGUGAUGUCACUCUUGGUGUGAUGGUCACUCAUCGAGCGUGUCAACUACUCAUAAAUAGCUCUAUCCAGCAAAUUUUCUUUAGAUUUUGCUCUAUUCUAUUGAUCAGAUUUGCCAAGUCAUUUUUCCUUCGAGGUAUUUAGCAUUGCCAAAUUUAUAUAUUUACCUAAAUUUAAUCGUGACCCGAUUUGCUCUGGUCAAUACAUGCAUGAUGCCUUUUCUUUUCUAUAAAGUGGAUGCAGGGUUAUUUUACCUUUUAGACUCUGAGUUAGAUUAGCCGCACCUGUGUAUAUGUUUGAUAGAUGAGCUGUGUCAGGUUGUAGGUACUGCUAAGCACAAAGCUAUAGUUGGAUAUAAUAUUGGAUUUACAAUUAUUUUAUGCAAAAGAUUUCUGGUUAGUUGUAAAAUUCAUAAUAUUCCAGUAUAUUUCAAAUUUUGUUUCAUAGAGAAGCUCCAUCAUUGGAACCAGUAUAUGUCUGCUGAUAAAACCCUUUUGUAUGAUCAUGGUUUUUAGGAAUUGAUAUUCCAAUCAAUCUGCUGAUGCGGUAUUUGUGGGAGAUGAAGAGCAGCGACGGGUUUAAUCUAGGGGCCGUCUUUCUCGAGCUACAUUCAUGCUUCACAGCAGUUCACCUUCCCACAAUUUCUCAGAUUCCAAAAUAGGACUAACUUCUGCUUAUUUUCUAAUCUAUUCAUUGUACCUCAAGGUGAACCAAUCUAUCCCACGAGAGCAUAUUUUUCUUAA